rnacentral:rRNA from 1 species
UACGAGGGGGGCAAGCGUUGUUCGGAAUUACUGGGCGUAAAGGGCUCGUAGGCGGCCAACUAAGUCAUACGUGAAAUCCCUCGGCUUAACCGGGGAACCGCGUCCGAUACUGGCAGGCUUGAAUCCGGGAGAGGGAUGUGGAAUUCCAGGUGUAGCGGUGAAAUGCGUAGAUAUCUGGAGGAACACCGGUGGCGAAGGCGGCAUCCUGGACCGGUAUUGACGCUGAGGCGCGAAAGCUAGGGGAGCAAACGGG